rnacentral:rRNA from 1 species
AACGAACGCUGGCGGCGUGUCUUAAGCAUGCAAGUCGUGCGGCAAGGGUAGCAAUACCCCUAGAGCGGCGGACUGGUGAGUAACGCGUGGGUGAUCUGCCCUUGGGAUGGGGAUAGCCACUAGAAAUAGUGGGUAAUACCGAAUACGUUCCCCCGGCUUGGUCGUGGGGAGGGAAAAGACGGCUUCGGCGCUGCCCGACGGAGUGAGCCCGCGUCCAUUAGCUAGUUGGUGAGGUAAAGGCCCACCCAAGGCGAUGAUGGGUAGGCGGCCUGAGAGGGUGUACGCCCACACUGGGACUGAGAUACGGCCCAGACUCCUACGGGAGGCAGCAGCUAAGAAGUAUUCCGCAAUGGACGAAAGUCUGACGGAGCGACGCCGCGUGGA